rnacentral:rRNA from 1 species
UACAGAGAGUGCAAGCGUUAAUCGGAAUUACUGGGCGUAAAGCGCACGUAGGUGGAUGUUUAAGUCGGAUGUGAAAGCCCUGGGCUUAACCUAGGAAUUGCAUUCGAUACUACUCAUCUAGAGUAUGGUAGAGGGAAGUGGAAUUUCCGGUGUAGCGGUGAAAUGCGUAGAUAUCGGAAGGAACACCAGUGGCGAAGGCGGCUUCCUGGACCAAUACUGACACUCAGGUGCGAAAGCGUGGGGAGCAAACAGG